GAGUUUGAUUAUGGCUCAGAUUGAACGCUGGCGGCAGGCUUAACACAUGCAAGUCGAACGGAAGUUACUAGCUUGCUAGUAACUUUAGUGGCGAACGGGUGAGUAACAUUUAGGAAUCUGCCUCAUAACGGGGGAUAGCUCGGGGAAACUCGAAUUAAUACCGCAUACACCCUACGGGGGAAAGGUGGCGCAAGCUGCCGAUAUGAGAUGAGCCUAAAUCAGAUUAGCUAGAUGGUGGGGUAAAGGCCUACCAUGGCGACGAUCUGUAACUGGUCUGAGAGGAUGAUCAGUCACACCGGAACUGAGACACGGUCCGGACUCCUAGGGGAGGCAGCAGUGGGGAAUAUUGGACAAUGGGCGAAAGCCUGAUCCAGCCAUGCCGCGUGUGUGAAGAAGGCCAUAAGGUUGUAAAGCACUUUAAGCAGGGAGGAAGAACUUUUAGUUAAUAGCUAAAAGUGG
rnacentral:rRNA from 1 species